rnacentral:rRNA from 1 species
GUGGGGAAUAUUGGACAAUGGGCGAAAGCCUGAUCCAGCCAUGCCGCGUGAGUGAUGAAGGCCCUAGGGUUGUAAAGCUCUUUCAGUGGGGAAGAUAAUGACGGUACCCACAGAAGAAGCCCCGGCUAACUUCGUGCCAGCAGCCGCGGUAAUACGAAGGGGGCUAGCGUUGUUCGGAUUUACUGGGCGUAAAGCGCACGUAGGCGGAUUGUUAAGUCGAGGGUGAAAUCCCAGGGCUCAACCCUGGAACUGCCUUCGAUACUGGCAAUCUUGAGUCCGGAAGAGGUGAGUGGAACUCCUAGUGUAGAGGUGGAAUUCGUAGAUAUUAGGAAGAACACCAGUGGCGAAGGCGGCUCACUGGUCCGGUACUGACGCUGAGGUGCGAAAGCGUGGGGAGCAAACAGGAUUAGAAACCCGAGUAGUCC